UCGAGAAUCUUCGGCAAUGGACGAAAGUCUGACCGAGCGACGCCGCGUGCGGGAUGAAGGCCCUCGGGUUGUAAACCGCUGUCAGUUGGGAGGAAGGGAGCGUUUAAAGCGUUUCUUGACCGAUCUUCAGAGGAAGGACGGGCUAAGUUCGUGCCAGCAGCCGCGGUAAGACGAACCGUCCAAACGUUAUUCGGUAUCACUGGGCUUAAAGCGUGCGUAGGCGGCCUGGAAGGUGAGAUGUGAAAUCCCACGGCUCAACCGUGGAACUGCGUUUCUAACCACCAGGCUCGAGGAAGACAGGGGUGAAGGGAACUUAUGGUGGAGCGGUGAAAUGCGUUGAUAUCAUAGGGAACACCGGUGGCGAAAGCGCUUCACUGGGUCUUUUCUGACGCUGAGGCACGAAAGCUAGGGUAGCGAACGGGAUUAGAUACCCGUGUAGUCC
rnacentral:rRNA from 1 species